GAUUGGGGGAAAUCAGGAAGUCCAGGCUCCCUUCCAAAGCAAAUUGGAAAGAUCCGCAGCAGCCAGGGCCGUAAGACAAACAAGAGUCCCCAAAUGCAAGAGUAGCAGAGGAUGUUUCCUUUCUAUGAAAAGCCAGGAAGACACGGGCACAUGAGUACAACAAAACUACGUCAGAGAACCUAGGCCUGUGAGCUUGGCAAAGACUCAACAGUGAAGGAUGCUGUCACCUCUCCAGGACCAUGGGACGGAGUGGCACCUAAGCGGGGUGUGAAGACACCUGCAGACUGCCAGCCUGUCUUCCGCAUCCCCAUCAUGGUGCCCACAGAUCCAGUGGGAGAAGCAGGGAGGUCCACAGUUUCAGGCCACACGAAGGUGCACGUGUCAGGAUUAUCUAUAAGGAAGGCAAUGGGAAGACAUCGAUACACAGAGGGUAAACACCAAGCGAGGCCAAGGAAUGGUGGUACCAACAGAAGCUGCAAGAACCAAGGAAGGAGUCUUCCCUAGAGCCUUCAGAGGGAACCUGGCCCUACUCACUUGAUUUCAGACUUCUGGCUUCCAGAAGGGUGAAAGAAUGCAUUUGUGGUUUUGUUGUUGUUGUUGGACACAGCGUUUCACAUAGCCUAGACUGGCCCCAAAGUAGCUAUUUAGCUGAGGAUGACCUCGAACUUUGGUCUUCCACCUCCAUUGUUCAAGUGUUGGGAUUAUAGGCACGUACCACCAUGCCUGGUCUUUGUGGUGCUGGGCAAUGAACUCAGUCCUUCAUGAACUAACUCCAAAACCAAGCUUUAUCCCCAGCCCAGUUUCUGUUGUUCUAAACUGCCCAGUUUGUGGUGCUUUGUCAUUGUGCCCUGGGAAGCAAUGAGCAGGCAGGAGUAGUGUGGUGACACUGGGACCUUCCUGGGCCCCUUGUGAAGCCUGAGCUGAGCUCCCUCCCCUAAGCUGCCUUUCAGAUCCUCACAGCAACUGAGGAAGUGCGGUUUCUUCCUAGUUGUGAUUCUGAGUAUCAAUAAAGACACAUGGGAGGAAACCACGAAGCCACUAGCAAUGCCCCACAGUGAAGUCUCCUCUCUCCCUCACUACCCAGCCUUCUCCUCUGGGGUAGCCCUGGGAACUGGGUUCUGCUAGAGCCUUGCAUAGGUACGCAAGCCACAGUGUCUGCCUGCCCAGCCUAUACACCUGCCUAAGCACAGAUUUACUAGGCCAGAUGCUGUCUGCUUUGCCUCACUUCCCAAUGUAGCUUGAGCUUCUGGCCUUAUUGGCAACACAGAACUCAGACUGCAUCCUGACUUCUUGGAAGUCCACUCACUGGGACCGAACACUGUCCUCUGUUUACAGUGGUGCUUCACUGGCCAUCUCUCUUCCUGUUCUCCACAAGGUGAUUCCAGCUUACCUUACUUUCUUCCGCUCUCCCCAGCUCUCCCCUUGCUCCCUCCCUUCCUCAGCAUUCUAGCGUUAGCAAGUUGCAGCACCUUUGUGCAGAGGCUCCAGCCAGCUGCCCGAGGUCACCACAGACCCAGUGCAUCUGAAGACUGUGGCUCAGCCCUGUCUACUUCUCCCUAACUCCCUGCCUGUCUGCCUUCACCUCUGACCUGGUUCCUUCCCUGACACCCUAACCUCAAUUCAAUCCCCAUGCAUUCUCCAGCCAGCAGCCAGCAUGGUCACUGGACACUUUGGUGACUGCCUGCUCCCUUUAGUCAAGCCCAGUGUCCUUUCCUAACUUCUAGAAUCACUGCCCAUCUCUCUGCCUCACCCCACGCCAACUGCUUAUUCCCCCAGGCUCUCUGGUCUUCGGAGUUCUUUUGAAGGAACCAGGAACUUUCUGCUGUGGAAUAUUCCUGUACACUCCAUAAAUUAUGUUCUGACUGGUUUAAUAAAGAAGCUGACUGACCAGUAGCCAGGCACGAUAAGGUUAGGUGGAAAAGCCAAACUGAGAAUGAUGGGGAGAAGAAGGGCGGAGUCAGGGGAGAUGCCAGUCAGCCACCAGAGGAACACAGGUAAAGUCACGAGACAAGUGGCAAAACAUGGAUGAACAGAAAUGGGUUAAUUGAAAAGUAAAAGCUAGUUAGUAAUAAGCCUGAGCUGUUCAGCCAAUAAUUUUUUAAUUAAUAUUAAGCCUCUAAGUGAUUGUUUAGAAGCAGCUUGGGGAUGGAGCGGGACAGAGAAACCUCCGUUUACGCUUUAUGGUCCCAGGGCCUUUGCAUAUGGGCUCCCUCUUCCUACUCCAUUGGGUAGCUUCUUUUCCUUCAAGGUCCCAGGAGGCUUGACUCCCCCGUUGUUUUCUGCCUCUACUCAUGGCUUGCCUCUUUUACAUUAUGGCUCCAAUAUGACUGUUUCUGACACGUGAUCUCUAUGAUAGACCAUGUUACUGACAACACCUGACUCAGGACAGACUUUUCACUAGACUGUGCUCGGUGACUAAGCAAAUGACAAACGCCCAUUCCAGAGACCCAGCUUUAAUGAGAGAAGCCCGGUGAGAGGUGAACAAAUUGUCACGGUGUUCUGUUACUUUUCUUGUGACUGUGACCAAAUGCCUGACAAGCAACUUAGUUGGGGGAAGGUUUAUUUUGGCUCACUGUUGGAGAGGGUGUGGGUUUAGGGGUGGACAGACUUUGGCAGCAGAUGUGGAAGGUGGCUGCUUACAUCCCAUUGGCAGUCAGGAAGCUCAGCCCUUCCUUGGAAGAAAGCAGGACUGGCAUUGCCACAAGGCCCACCACUCAAGAACCUACUGUCUUCAGCCAAGCCCUCCAGGUCCCUAAAGGCUCUGCAAUUUACCAAAAUAGUAACACAGAUGGGAGCAAGUGUUCAAACAUGCGGAUUUCUAGGGGACAGCUCACAUUCAAACCAUAAAACAUUCACUCAUGUCUUCCCUACCUACAGUGAAGACAUAGGACCCACAGUCAUCAAGACAGUGGGAAUCCCACCUCUCCAAAGGCCUGAUCUCCUGGGGAGGCAGCUCAGAAUCGUAUCAGGACUAUCAAGAAGUGGGGUGUUGCUCUUACAGUGUUCUCUGUCUGCUUUAAGUCCCGCUGUCUCUGCUCUCAACAAGAGAUCUUUUCAGAUUGUUGGUGAAAUCUUAGUCUCACAGAAAUCUAGACUAAUAAAUAUUCUCUGCCCCCCUCCCCCAACUCACUGAAAAGUCAGCCUUUGCUAAGCACUUGAUCAACCUUCCCUGAAGGAAGGAGCAGGGACAGGAACCUGGGGCUUCAGUCCAGAGUCAGCCUUGGGAAGGGAGACCUGGCCCUUGUUCAGCCCCAGAAAGGAAGUGCACAGGGCCCUGGAAGCGCGACACUUAGCUUCAUCUUCUGCACUGCUUGUUUAGAGUUCCAUAAGCAGUGUCUCCUCAAGGAGUGAAACAUAGCCGCUCCUCUAGCUUCUCGGUUUCUUUUUAAAGUUCUUUCUGAAAUACAAAACACACAGAGAAGCUUCACCCUUUGUACAUGACGUGGUUGAGAUGAUUAUUUGCAAAUAUUUACCGCCCGCCCGACUCCACUCGUGCUGGAUAUAGACUGGGGGUUUGCUUUUGCUAACAGAGUGUGGGAAGCUGUCGAGCAGAGUUCCAAGUAGAGACCCAAGGAGACCUGGUGCUUCCUUUGACCUUUCUUCAUCUUAUCUCAGAUGGAUGUCAGUUAGAGGAGGAGGAGUACGUGGGACAGCCAUGCCUGCAACCCUCAGACAAGCUUGACCCAGAGCAGCUGACUCCUAAACCCACAAGCCAGUCAGCAAGAAACAUGUGCUAUGGCAGCAGCUAACGUCUUCAUAAUUUCUCAUAUAUUCUAUAUGCGUCUGUAGGCAGUAUAGAUCAGAUAGAACAUCUCCAGAACCCUUGGAUCCGAAUUCCCUGUCUCCUAUUGGUUACUGAACCCCUUCCUAGGGAGCCACUAGCCUGACUUCUCAUCUGGGACCUAUGAUGGAUAAUUUUUGUCAACUUGAUACAAACCACAUUCAUCCAGGGAAGAGGGAGCCUCCAUUGGAAUUGCCUCCGUCAGAUUGGCCUUUGGGCAUGUCUAUAGGGCAUCUUCUUGAUUAGUGAUGACUACGAGAGGACCCAUCAUAUUGUGGGAAGCCCCCCUCCCCCCCGCAAGGGUCCUGGGCUGAAUGAGAAAGUAAGCUGAUCAGGCAGUGGACUCUCCCAAGGUUCCUGCCUCCAGUUUCCUGCUUUGAGGUCUUUUCCUGAAUUCCCUUUCCUCAAUGAUGAACUGUAACUUGCAACCUGAGAUAAACUCCUUUUCUCUGCAGCUUACUUCUAGUCAACAGUGUUUAUCACAGCAACAAUCAGCAAGCUAGAUUUUUAACUUUAAAAGAAAGUAAAUGUACAAAAACAAUCCUCAAUUAGGUCUGCAUUCUUUAGCUCAAUAUCCCCGUUAUAAGAUUUCCUCAAGGGUGCAGUUUAGUUCACUCAUUCCAUUCUAUUGUUGAGUUGUUCUUAUUUUCAGGUAUGAUAAGUAGUAUUGCCAUUAAGUCUCAUGCAAGAGUAUGUACUUUGAAUAACAUAUUGACACACUCUGUUUGCUCUAUUCUAGGAGGAAAAUUGUAGAAAGAUAAAUGUCGAUGGCAUUUGUUGGCUGCACUCCACAGUGAGGCAGGGGCAUAUCCAGCUUGAGUAACUGCUACCAAACAGCUUUCCUAAGUUCUUCUGCCAGUCCACACUCCUAGCAGCUUUGAGCACUCUCACUGGUCAAUAUCUUUGCCAGUACUUGGUGCUUCCCACCUUUUUAAAUUUAGUCAUCUGAUGGGUGUGUACCAAAGUCACAUUAUGGUUUUUGAGUUUCCCAGAUGACUAAUCGCCUUAAACAAGUUCCCACGUAUUUAUGGGCACACGUGUAUAUGUGUGCUCAAGCCUUUUGCUUAUUUUUCUAUUGGAUUGCCUAUCUUUUUCUUAUUGGUUUGUAGAUGUUCUGUAUAUAUUAUUGAAAUGAUCUCUACUACAAGUCUUACAGAAAUCUUUCAUUGUGUGUUCUCAACUAUAUUUUUUGUUGAAUAGAAGUCCAUCAUUUUAAAAUAUAGUUCUAUUUCAUUUCAGAGUACAGUUCAAUUUAUAAAUUUUUUAAUCUUUUAUAGUUAUAGACCUUUUUUCCUGCCUAGGAAUGUCUGUCUACUCGGAGGUUAUGAAGAUGCUCUCUUGUGUUUUGUUCUAGAAUCUUUAUUGGUCAACUGAAAUUAACAUAUGAUAUGGUAUGAGGUAGGAGGUUACAAUACUCCCCACUCCUCUGUAUAAAUAUCUAGUUGACCCAGAGCUAUUUAAUUAAGAAGGCCACCAUUUCCCCCACUGCACUGUAGUGUGAUUGUUUUGCCUUUGAAAACUGAUGAACAAUGUUUGGUGAGCAUGGUCUCAAACCAAAGGUACCAGGUUCACAUCCUAGAUUCAGGCGAGAGUUAAUUCCUAUCUGAGUCUCGGCUUUCUCACCUGUGUCCAAGAGAAAUAAACUUUUCACCUCUGCCUGGAAGGCAUCAAAGGGGAAAGAACAUCCAAAGCAUUUAGCGCCAGGCAGUGGCUGUGCUCUGUCACCUCUGUUGUUGUCAUUGUCACAACCUCUGCCUUCAGGACCAGAGCUUAAUUCAAGUGGUUAAUUCUGAUCCAGGAAACAAAUUUUCUGUCUGUGCUCAGUUCUAUUUCCAAGUCUCUGCAACCCCUAAUGCAGACCAGCUGGCCACUCCUGGUGAGUCCUUGUUCCUCUCUGUGUCCCUGUCCCAUCCUCAGGCACCAUCCCUCUGGGCCCCUGAGUAUUGCCAACCCUUGUCCUCCUGAGCAUUACAUAACCCUGUGUAUUUGCUGCUUGUCCCAGCUCACGGCUGUCCUUUGAAGGCAGAGGCCAGCUUCCUACGGAGCAGGCAUCACCCAGCAUAGUGUUCUGGUUUGUUUGUGACACCCAGCCAGCUGUUGGACUGUCCAGUGGGGAAUCAGAGGAUGCUUCUCUGUAAGACAACAUCCUGUCUUUGUGCAGCUGCUUUGUGGAGGGACAGCCAUGGGAGAAACCUACUGGCUAACAUCUUUGGCAGUGAAAUUUGAACCCAAAGCAAAGCCUAGAUAAAAUAAACACCAGACAUUUUGCAUUCAACCUGGUUACAGUUAUGUGACCUUGAUUAUUAACAUUGUUAUUUUGGCACCUCUCCUAGGGAAGGAGAGUUCACAGUCCUGCUGAUGCUGGAGUGACUAGAUUGGAAAUAAGGUCCCCUGGGGUUGGGCUUCUAUCUAUGGAAAUGUCAAUGGUUUAUUCACAUUUAAAGAGGGCUGCAAAGGUCACCAUUUGUGAUUUUCAAAGUCACAAAAGCUAAGUGUUUUUCAGGGAACCUGUAACUAAAAUGCUUGAAUCUUUUCCAACCUGCUUGUGAUUGUCAAGGCUGGUACCUGGGCCUUAUUUGUUUAGUCUGCACACACCCAUACAGUAACAUAUUGUGUCUGGCCCUAUGCUAGCUUUGGGGGCGGGUGCUCAAAAAGACAAAUGUUCUGCCUUUUGAAGCUGUUUCA